rnacentral:lncRNA from 1 species
GGCUCAGCACCUGGCUUAAAGUUAUAAUACCAGGAUUUACAUUAUUCUUAGCCACAGGCAUAUUUUCCACCAGCUUUUAACAACCCACCACCUCCUUUUCCCCUUCCCUCCCACACAAUAACUGGGAUGACUUGUCUAGAUCUUAGGCAACAAUUCUCUUAGCACAUCAGCUCCUGGAAACAAAUGCACUUAACCAGAAAAACAGGGACAUCAACCAGCAAAGAUGCAUCCUCAUUUAAUAGAGCUUGAAAUUACUAUAAUCUGUAAAGUACAGCGAGAAGAAGAAGUUUCACCUGCCUGCACAUCUGUCGUUGACUCUCCAUCUGACUUGGAGGGACUCUGAGGGACCAACCUGAGCCUGAGAAGAGGCAAGAUUCCCCUUCAAGGACACACUGGGAACUUACGGACCUCUUUCUCCAUGGUGCAGAGCGCAGAGGCUACCUGAGAAUAUCCAGAGACUACAGAGGUCAUCAAGUUGACGCAUCAAUGUUUACAUGUGAACAAACAGACGCAUAAUAGCUCUUGAGCUUGCCAUUGGGAAGUGAAAAUCAACUGCUUGAAUAAAUGUAAGGACUCAGGUAGACAUCACCUUGUGACUCAACAGCAGCCAAUAAGAUGGAAAUAAAGGCCAUGAAGUUAUCGGAUGGCAUCUACAAGGAAUACUUAGAUGAGGAGGUGACUCUGGUAGCAAUUGUUCUUUUGUCUUUCUCACCUUCCUUCUUGUCCUGUCUGGGAUGCUGAAGUGAUGGCUGGUAUACAGAUGCCCUGUUGUGAUGUUGAGAUAAACAUGAGAAUAAAAGUCGGCGAUUACAGAUGGCAGAGAAGAGAGAGAAAGAUAGGAUGUAGGUGGAUAUUGACGGAACUAAGUUUCUAUUGCACAAGUUCUACCACCAACCUCUGGACUUCAUGAUAUGUGAGGGAGAAAUAAACUCCUAUUUUAGAAGAGAUCUAUGUUACCUGCAACUGAACGGAAUGCUUAAUUGGCACAUCCUAUGUGCUCCAAACCUUCCUUAAUUUCUGUGUGUAAGGCAUACUUAGUCUUUACCCAUUAUUCUGUUCACAUUCAUUCACUUGAUCAGCCUCCCAACUCUAUGGUAAAGAGUUUACUACAGUUUACUCUAUUAGUAAGGGAGAUUCUGGAGCAAGCCCCACAAAUCAUAGAUUGAAUACCCAUUCAUUAAGAGAGAGAUUUAAAGAUACUUCUAUCCAAACACAUUUUAAAUUUCCAGCACCUUUGAGGUGGUGGAGGUUCAUGGUGGUUGAUAGGGUUUAAAUGACUUGUGAUUCAAGCUCCAUAUUACAAUGUAACAGUGCAAAAGUUCAUUUUUUUAAAUUUAUUUUACUUUAAGUUCUGGUAUACAUGUGUAGAACAUGCGGGUUUGUUACAUAGGUAUACAUGUGCCAUGGUGGUUUGCUGCACCUAUCAAACCGUCACCUAGGUUUUAAGAACCACAUGCAUUAGGUAUUUGACCUAAUGCUCUCCCUCAUGUUGCCCCCCAACUCCCUGACAGGGCCCAGUGUGUGAUGUUCCCCUCCCUGUGUCCAUGUGUUCUCAUUGUUCAACUCCCACUUAUGAGUGAGAACAUGUGGUGUUUGAUUUUCUGUUCCUGUGUUAGUUUGCUGAGAAUGAUGGCUUCCAGCUUCAUCCAUGUCCCUGCAAAGGACACGAACUCAUUCUUUUUUAUGGCUUCAUAAUAUUCCAUGAGUCUGGAUUUGGUUACAGAUAGAGCUGGACAAGCCUUAGCUAUAUCUAAUGGCUUUUGACAUGUUAUAUCAAUUUCUUACUGCUUUUGUAAAUGAAUAUAUUAAGAAGAAAAAAUUACAAAUGACCCUUUCUUCACAAACUUUUAGGGUAAUCAAGUUCAGUUAUUAAAAAAUGGAUGUUUGCAACAUUCAUAGUAAUUAUUUUCAGAAAAUUAAAAAUGAUUAAAAAUUAUAUUUUCAUCCCAUUCAGAUAUUAUAUAUUUAACUGUGAGAUAAUUCUCAGAGAUAAAUGUCAACUUUUAAAAAAUGCUAAAUAAAUUAAAUCAAAAUAUCCCCUCUAAAAUAAAUAAAUUAGCUCCGAUUAUUUCUUCUUUUUAAAUUUUUCCUUAUAGUUGUAAAAAUAAAGUGAACGUUUU